rnacentral:rRNA from 1 species
AUUGAACGCUGGCGGCAGGCUUAACACAUGCAAGUCGAGCGGGGGAAGGUAGCUUGCUACCGGACCUAGCGGCGGACGGGUGAGUAAUGCUUAGGAAUCUGCCUAUUAGUGGGGGACAACAUCUCGAAAGGGAUGCUAAUACCGCAUACGUCCUACGGGAGAAAGCAGGGGAUCAUCGGACCUUGCGCUAAUAGAUGAGCCUAAGUCGGAUUAGCUAGUUGGUGGGGUAAAGGCCUACCAAGGCGACGAUCUGUAGCGGGUCUGAGAGGAUGAUCCGCCACACUGGGACUGAGACACGGCCCAGACUCCUACGGGAGGCAGCAGUGGGGAAUAUUGGACAAUGGGGGGAACCCUGAUCCAGCCAUGCCGCGUGUGUGAAGAAGGCCUUAUGGUUGUAAAGCACUUUAAGCGAGGAGGAGGCUGCUUUAGUUAAUACCUGGAGAUAGUGGACGUUACUCGCAGAAUAAGCACCGGCUAACUCUGUGCCAGCCGCCGCGGUAA